rnacentral:rRNA from 1 species
UACGGGGGGGCAAGCGUUGUUCGGAAUUACUGGGCGUAAAGGGCGCGUAGGCGGUUCGAUAAGUCAGCUGUGAAAACCAUGGGCUUAACUCAUGGCCUGCAGUUGAGACUGUCGGGCUGGAGUGUGGGAGAGGAGAGUGGAAUUCCUGGUGUAGCGGUGAAAUGCGUAGAUAUCAGGAGGAACACCAAUGGCGAAGGCAGCUCUCUGGGAACGGUACUGGACGCUGAGACGCGAAAGCGUGGGAGCGAACAGG